ensembl:snRNA U2 U2 spliceosomal RNA
AUCGCUUCUUGGCCUUUUGGCUAAGAUCAAGUGUAGUACCAUUUGUGUAGUUAGCUGGGAAAUUAUUUCUGUUUUGAAAAUUUCUAGAGCCUCAUUCAUCUGUUUUGUUACUUCCUAUGCUAUCAGGUCGGGGUGUCCAGGUGGUUGAUUAUCAGACUGUUCCACCUUCUUUCC